rnacentral:rRNA from 1 species
GUAGGGGGCGAGCGUUGUCCGGAUUUAUUGGGCGUAAAGAGCUCGUAGGCGGCUUGGCAAGUCGGGUGUGAAAACUCCAGGCUCAACCUGGAGAUGCCACUCGAGACUGCUAUGGCUAGAGUCCGGUAGGGGACCACGGAAUUCCUGGUGUAGCGGUGAAAUGCGCAGAUAUCAGGAGGAACACCGGUGGCGAAGGCGGUGGUCUGGGCCGGCACUGACGCUGAGGAGCGAAAGCGUGGGGAGCGAACAGGAUUAGAUACCCUGGUAGUCCACGCCGUAAACGUUGGGCACUAGGUGUGGGACCUUAUCAACGGGUUCCGUGCCGUAGCUAACGCAUUAAGUGCCCCGCCUGGGGAGUACGGCCGCAAGGCUA